GAAUUGACGGGGACCCGCACAAGCAGCGGAGCGUGUGGUUUAAUUCGUUGCUACACGAAGAACCUUACCUGGGUUUGACAUAUAGGUUGUAGGGAACUGAAAAGGGACCGACCCUUCGGGGAGCCUAUACAGGUGUUGCAUGGCUGUCGUCAGCUCGUGUCGUGAGAUGUUCGGUUAAGUCCGCUAACGAGCGCAACCCUCGUCGUAUGUUAUAUGUGUCAUACGAGACUGCCGGUAAAAAGCCGGAGGAAGGUGAGGAUGAUGUCAAGUCAGCAUGACCUUUAUAUCCAGGGCUACACACACGCUACAAUGGUCUGUACAAUGGGUAGCCAAGCCGCGAGGCGGAGCCAAUCCUGAAAGCAGGCCUCAGUUCAGAUUGCAGUCUGCAACUCGACUGCAUGAAGCCGGAGUUGCUAGUAACCGCAGGUCAGCAAUACUGCGGUGAAUACGUUCCCGGGCCUU
rnacentral:rRNA from 1 species